CACAGUUCUGGAUAAAUGUAAGGUGAUACAUACUGUAAAGAAUAGUUUGAAUGAUUCAUAUAUAUUGCAGCCAGCCACCAUCUAGGCCACACAGGACUCAGAUGUUGUUUUAAUAAGAAUAAAAAGCUUCUAUUUUAUAUACAUAGUUGCUCAAAAAGACAAAAAUGUUAGCAUCUAUCAUAAUAAAAUAAUAAAAAAAAGUAGCUACAAAAUGUAGUUGACAUCUCUUCCAUGGAUCUACUUCUUGCAUGACUAAUACUGAUGAAAAAACAUUAUUAACAGAGGUAAGGGAAAAGUACAUAAAUUUAUAAUCAUGAAACAGACAUUAAGAAGUCUUGAACAAUGUAGGUUAAAAAGGAAGCAAAGGAAGGUAUUUGUAAAGGAACAAGAGAAUUUCCAUAAGUUUGACAUAUGAAGAUCCAUAUUUUGUAGUUUCAUAGUUUUAGUGAUGAGAAACUUGUCAUGUUUUCACAGCAAACUGAUGGCUCCAGGUGUUUGAGAAAGUUUCCGGUACAAAUAAAUUCUAGCCAGUUCCUGUGGCAGCCUCUGCUUUUUUCCCUUUGAAGGUCUGUCAGCAUAAGAGAAGCAAGUUUGCUCAAGAAGAUUCAAGAUCAUUUGCUGUAAUAUUUCCUCCCUGCCCCUGCCACGUGUGAAUGGUUAAGGAGAAUAACCCCAUUUGUACUUCUCAGAAACCACCUGGAACCAAGGAGUCUCUUGCUGUGUGUGAGAACAGCUUAUCACCAUCCUGUGAUGACCAUUUUGCAUUCCUUACACUGACCAAUCAGUCUCCUGCAGACAGAUUUUCUCUUGGAGGAGAGCAAGAAGAGGAGAGUAAUCCUUUCUGCAGUGCAAGCAGUUAUCUUCCGGCAUUACACAGAAAACAUAUGCUGCAAAAGCAAAUGAGACUGCACAACUUUUCUUGGCCGAUUUCAGCUUUCCCACAUCUUUUCAAAUAUGCAUGA
rnacentral:lncRNA from 14 species